rnacentral:sRNA from 1 species
AGCAGCCGCGGUAAUUCCAGCUCCAAUAGCGUAUAUUAAAGUUGUUGCAGUUAAAAAGCUCGUAGUUGAACUUCGGGGUUCACCCAUUGGUCAGGCUUAAUUGUCUGCACUGGUGAGAUGAGUCUCUACCUUCUGAGGAACUUUCAUGUCAUUAAUUUGGUGUGAUGGGAAAUCAGGACUGUUACUUUGAAAAAUUAGAGUGUUUAAAGCAGGCUAACGUCUGAAUACAUUAGCAUGGAAUAAUGAAAUAGGACGGACUGAUUCUAUUUCGUUGGUUUCUAGGAUCACCGUAAUGAUUAAUAGGGAUAGUUGGGGGCAUUAGUAUUCAAUUGUCAGAGGUGAAAUUCUUGGAUUUAUUGAAGACUAACUACUGCGAAAGC